rnacentral:rRNA from 1 species
AGGAGCUUGCUCCUUCUGGUUUAGCGGCGGACGGGUGAGUAACACGUGGGCAACCUGCCCUGCAGAUCGGGAUAACUCCGGGAAACCGGUGCUAAUACCGAAUAGUUUGCGGCCUCUCCUGAGGCUGCACGGAAAGACGGUUUCGGCUGUCACUGCAGGAUGGGCCCGCGGCGCAUUAGCUAGUUGGUGGGGUAAUGGCCUACCAAGGCGACGAUGCGUAGCCGACCUGAGAGGGUGAUCGGCCACACUGGGACUGAGACACGGCCCAGACUCCUACGGGAGGCAGCAGUAGGGAAUCUUCCGCAAUGGACGAAAGUCUGACGGAGCAACGCCGCGUGAGUGACGAAGGUUUUCGGAUCGUAAAACUCUGUUGUGAGGGAAGAACAAGUACCAACUAACUACUGGUACCUUGACGGUACCUCACCAGAAAGCCACGGCUAACUACGUGCCAGCAGCCGCGGUAAUACGUAGGUGGC